CCUACGGGAGGCAGCAGUGAGGAAUAUUGGUCAAUGGGCGAGAGCCUGAACCAGCCAAGUAGCGUGCAGGAUGACGGCCCUAUGGGUUGUAAACUGCUUUUAUAGGGGAAUAAAGUGAGCUACGUGUAGUUUUUUGCAUGUACCCUAUGAAUAAGGACCGGCUAAUUCCGUGCCAGCAGCCGCGGUAAUACGGAAGGUCCGGGCGUUAUCCGGAUUUAUUGGGUUUAAAGGGAGCGUAGGCCGGAGAUUAAGCGUGUUGUGAAAUGUAGAUGCUCAACAUCUGAACUGCAGCGCGAACUGGUUUCCUUGAGUACGCAUAAAGUGGGCGGAAUUCGUGGUGUAGCGGUGAAAUGCUUAGAUAUCACGAAGAACUCCGAUUGCGAAGGCAGCUCACUGGGGCGCAACUGACGCUGAAGCUCGAAAGCGCGGGUAUCGAACA
rnacentral:rRNA from 1 species